GUCCCCAUGGAGACAGACGGCGGCCGGGUGGCUCGGACUCAGGAGGCGGCGAGACUCGACGCCCCUCUGAGUGGCGGAGCCGUGAUGGCUCUCAGUAUCUCUCGUCAUGUCCCUGGCAGCUUUGACACAGGUAAUAUGCAUGCAGUCUGACAGAGCCGGAGAUGUGCACCGGCGACAAUGAUGUACAUAUCAUUUUCCUCCCUGGCUGAUUGAAGACUGUAAUCUGUGCUGGACUUUCUCUCUGAUUACACACGUCUCUGUCUCGGGGAGCAAAACAAGGACUCUGAACUGCCGCUGGAACCAGGCUCACCCUGGGCUUUCAGCCUUCGAGAGGACUGCACUCUGCCUCUAAGGGACCAAGGGAAUCAGCUGUUCUCCUGAGACAAACCUCUGUGUUACCAGUGGACCCUUGUGAUCCAGGCCUAAUAGCAUAUCAAGCACCUGACAGAGGGGAGCAGGUAACAGGCAGCAUGGGACCCCAGGACACUGCUGGCUUCAUCUCUCUACCUCUCUUCCCCAAAGUCAACUCAUUCAUUUGGAGGACACCUUCAUGUUUUAAGUGAUGGUGUCUGCCAUAAGGAGGAUACUUUGGUGCUGUCCAACAAGCCGUCUGUUAUCAGAGGGAAAUGUGUCCGUUCAGAGAGCCCUUGAUUUGAGCCCAGCCGAUGCUCACGACAUUGAGACUAUUGACGUCCACGCCUCAGAGACGUGUGGCCAAGCUCAUCACACAGAAGGUAAUUUUGUCUGAGCAAUUACCUGGCUAAUGUAUUCUACUGUCGGGGCAUUUUCUGCUGCUUAGGUGAGCCGCUGAUGGCAUGUUUUGAUAUUUUUUUGAGCAAUUGUGCCCUUCACUCCGAAAGAAGUCCUGUGUCUUGUCUGGCUCUGUCUUUCUCCCUAUGUAUCUCCCCCGUGAUGCUCCCGUAUUUCACGUAGCUGCUGAACUUACUGUAUGUAGAAGUGCUGUAUUGGAAUGCCUUAGCAUGUGCCGAGUGGAGUUGACAGAGCCCCAGAUACGAUGGGGUGUGUGUUUGUGAAGGGAAGAUUCCUGCUGUAAGAUAUACCUACUCCCAACGGUUGCUGUAUCACCUGUCAGGGAUGAGCACAACGUCCCAGAGAACGCCACUGUGCAGUGGAACUGUCAUCACACAAUUACUCUCACCAUCACUGCCCUAUACAGCUCCGUGCAACGGCUGUGACACACUUUACAAUUCAGAUUGUAUUCUCAGUCAUUGGCACUUAAAUGCGGCACUCUGUUUUAUAAAAAGAUAAAGAUCUCUGUAAUCUGCUGUGGCUCAACCAGCCCCAUGAAAGCUUGUCAGGCUGCAUUUUGUCAUUGGCUUGAUGUUGUCAAACCUCGCAGCUUCACCCUUUGUUGGCUCUGUGCACAUGCUUGUUUUUUUGAGUGUGCUAUUGUGUUGCUUGUUAAUGUGCUUGUACAGUCAGGACAGGAGUAAGACCUAGGCUCCCGUGUCUGCGACCACUUAUCUAUUUGAUUCAUUGUGAGGAAACACAACGUCUACUGCGCUAUGCAGUCACCAUAGUAAGGUACACUGUAAAUCACAGUGAAGUACCAGAGGUCAGUGCACUUUCCUGAAUCGGCUGUAUGAGAUCUUUCUUCGUUGUAUUCAGUUCCUCACCGGGUGUAGUUUUUGGUAAUCUCUUGGUCAAGGUUAACAGGUGAUAGUCUGCUGGUUUCCACUUGGUGUAGACAGAAUCUCUGGCACAAGCAAGCCUUAAGUAUUAGUCAUCUUCGUCACCAGGUCUUCCAGUUGUCCUGCAGAUGCAGAAGUGCUCAGCGUUGAUAGCAAUGACAAAAACCAAACUGUGUGUAUUCAGGUGAGAUAGCAGAUUGAGUUUAACAAGCCAGAUGGGUUGUAAUCGUCGGAUCAAUCCAAUGUUUGUGAGCUUUUAUGCUUUUUAUUAUGGUUUGCUUUCCUUACGUGUAAUUUCCUCUGGUGAUUAGUCUGCCCCUGGGUAGGGCUAGAGAGUUCAUCUGCCCGGCCAUCACUGCCUCUGCCAGGGUCAGGACCGUGACCUGCCCCCCUGGGCUGGUUCUGGCACUCUCUGGCUGGACUUCCAGUGGAGCAGCCCGGAGCCCCGUCCUCCAUGCCUGUUGGCCAUGCUGCUGCGGUUUUAAUGCCCACCACAGAGAGCAACAUCCAGCAGCAUAUGGCUAAUGUCCCCUCUGUCUCUGAAGCGGCUAGUUUUUGGGGCGUUUGUUUUUUCGGUCACUUUUUUAGUUCGGGAAGUUAGCCGCUCAGUCCCUGAUACAGAUGUUGUGAGACACAGAUUGGCUUGGAGCCCAAGUCACGUGUUUGGCAAUUGAAUGCCACAAAGUAGUCUGAUAUCACUUCGUGACUGUGGUCUCGUGCAUGUUAUGGCGACACUGCAGCAGAAGCUGGGAGCAUAAGAGACUUUGCAGGUCUCGCUGUUGGGCUGACGUUUCAGAGGCAGCCUCCCUUGCAAUAAUAUGAUGUGAGAUACGGUUCGUCUUCACAUUCACACGGGAACCCUACAGGUGUCCAGCUAUACAGGGGAAGGCGGGGAGAAGAACUUGACUCGAGUUGAUCACUGAGAGGCAGAGACUGGCAGGUCUUCUAGGCAUUGUCUGAUCCUGGAACCUGUACCAGCAUGCUUCCUUCUGAAAUCAUAGCACACGUGUUGUUCUCCUUACAGAUGUGAAGGGGUUAAUACUUCACUUUUAGAACCCACAGGCUGGCUUUGUCACUCUUGCUUUAUCCCAGUAAUUGAGUCACUUUAACAGCGCUUUUGUUUCUUUUCUUAGGUAUGUAAGGAGCUGGAUAGAUACUCCACAUGCUCAAUCAGAAAGAGCUAAUCUGACUAUAUUGUUUGACAAGUGUGUCCCUUACAGCUUGGAGUGACUGAGAUGUAAUCUAAAAACAAUUAUGUCAAUUCCUGAGAACAGUAUGGGGCAGGUAAGAAGCGUUUCAGCUUUCGUCAGGUUAAAUGUAAUGGCUUCACUCUAGCCCUCUUCAAGCCCUGAACUUCUCCGUUCGUGAAUAAGGGUUGUGCUUGUGCCUGUUCAAAGUUGGUGAAUUUCCAGCAACUUUUUCAAGUUGAUUUUGGAGUGGAUGGAAUGAAUUGCAGCCACUGCUGCUUCUGGAGACUGACAGCUACUGUGUGACCAUUUCCUCCAUCUCCUCACCACUCCUGUGGGAGCUUGCUAUUUUAGGAUCACGUGGAUCCUUGAAUCCUAUCUGUGACAAGUGAUCUGAUCAGUGUCAUGUUGUCUCAGUCGUGACAGAUGUUAUUUUGUUGUACCACCCACGCACCCACACUAUUAGUCUACCAUUACUUGACUCCGCUUCCUCUACCACCAUCCAUCCACCGUCAUCUCCAGAAUGUGAAGUUCAUUCUAAUUCUGCAGCACAUCAUGUACCUAAUCUUUUUCUUUUUUUUAAAUGGCAAGUAAAAGGCCUUGGAGGUGCUUUGGCAUUUCCGAGCUAGUGAAGGAAGAGAGAAGAAGUCAAGGUUGCAGAGGACUGCAGCCCACCCGAGCCGGCUCUUUUUAAACCCCUGUUGGGCUUUUACAUUUUUAUCACUCCUGGUAUUUGUUCUCAAUGGCAAAUUAACAGCCUUCCUUGUGCCGUUCAGUUUCUUUUCGGAAGACGAGGCUUAAAUUUAGUCUAACUGCCUGAAUUUACUACUAUUCUAUUAUUCACACGGCACAAUCAAUACCAGGACUGAAGUAGAGAGGAUAAAAAUUUAUGAUAUCUUGCAAUUUAAUGGUUGAAAAGAUGCAAUUUGAAAGAUCAUAAAUUGUGAAGGAGCUUAUGCUUCAUUGCCCUUGAUUCAGUGCUUGCUGUUAGAACUUGAUUUGCGAGUGUCUGCAAAGUGUGAUUAACGAGGCGAUCAAUGUGCGCCACGGCACACUACGGCACUCCUAAUGCUCUUCAUUAGAAUAAAUAAAAUGAAUUGACUGCAGCUCUAUGAAAACUCUGUAAUGGUUCAAAAUCAAAGAACGUCAUCCUUCUCCUACGAUUUAGCCCCUCUCGGCCUGUGUCCACCUUCAUCACAUUACUCCUGACAGCCCUGUCCCCAAACCUGCAGUCUCCCCGGCAACAUGCUCAGG